CAUAAGCGCUUCAGGAUCACCUGAAGCGGAAGCAAACGCCUUCUCCGAUGCUGAUGCAAUCGGUGAAGUCGAUCCAAAAAAUUGAGAUUCUGCCUUGAAAGCACUAAAAAAACAAAAUGGUCCCGAAAAUGAUUAAGAAGCUUUUUCGAAAGAUCGCAAGAUAUAUUGCAAAGCUAUUGACACAAUAAUCUCAAGAAGAAUAGGAAAAUAUAGGAUUCUUUAAAAUAUGAAUACAACAAAAAUAUAUGUAAAUUAUAAAUACAAUCAUUUUAUAUUUUUAAGAAUCUAU